rnacentral:rRNA from 1 species
AUAACAAUACGGGACUCUUUUGAGGCCCCGUAAUUGUAAUGAGUACGCUCUAAAUCCUUUAAUGAGGAUCCAUUGGAGGGCAAGUCUGGUGCCAGCAGCCGCGGUAAUUCCGGCUUCAA